AAACAGUAAUGUAAAAGUUCAUGAGGCCUUCAGAAAAUGCAAGGUAACACUAGUGAUAACUGAAAAUGACAUAAGAGAUUCAAAAAUCUGCUGUUAAUGCUUCGUAUAAGGCAAAUUUCAAGCAACUAAUUAUUCAUAGUGCUGGGAAAGAAUUUAAGAAUUUAUAGUUUGUAAGGACGCAGCAAUAUAAAAUGGCCUUGAGUUAAAAUUAGGUUUAGAAAGGAUGAAGUGGUGAGCUGAGAGAGUUCCGUGAGCAGAAUCUGAAGUACUAUAGCAGCAGAGGAAAGGGAGAAGAACAGAGAAAAGACGGAAGAGA
rnacentral:misc_RNA from 1 species